CGCGUGGUUCUAUUUUGUUGGUUUCUAGGACCGCCGUAAUGAUUAAUAGGGACAGUCGGGGCCGUCUGUAUUCAAUUGUCAGAGGUGAAAUUCUUGGAUCUAUUGAAGACAAACUACUGCGAAAGCAUUCGGCAAGGAUGUUUUCAUUGAUAAGGAACGAAAGUUAGGGGAUCGAAGACGAUCAGAUACCGUCGUAGUCUUAACUAUAAACUAUGCCGACUAGGGAUCGGACGAUGUUAUUUUUUGACUCGUUCGGCACCUUUCGAGAAAUCAAAGUGCUUGGGCUUCAGGGGGAGUAUGGUCGCAAGGCUGAAACUUAAAGAAAUUGACGGAAGGGCACCACCAGGGGUGGAACCUGCGGCUUAAUUUGACUCAACACGGGGAAACUCACCAGGUCCAGACACAGUGAGGAUUGACAGAUUGAUAGCUCUUUCUUGAUUCUGUGGGUGGUGGUGCAUGGCCGUUCUUAGUUGGUGGAGUGAUUUGUCUGCUUAAUUGCGAUAACGAACGAGACCUUAACCUGCUAAAUAGCCCUUAUUGCUUCGGCAGUAAGCUGGCUUCUUAGAGGGACUAUCGGCUCAAGCCGAUGGAAGUUUGAGGCAAUAACAGGUCUGCGAUGCCCUUAGAUGUCCUGGGCCGCACGCGCGUUACACUGACAAAGCCAGCGAGUAUUUCCUUGGCCGGAAGGCCCGGGUGAUCUUGUUAAACUUUGUCGUGC
rnacentral:rRNA from 1 species